rnacentral:ncRNA from 1 species
ACAGGUCUGUGAUGCCUUAGAUGUUCUGGGCUGCACGCGCGCUACACUGACACGAUCAACAAGUAUUUCUUGCCCGGUAGGGUUAGGGUAAUCUUUUGAAAUCGUGUCGUGCUAGGGAUAGACGAUUGCAAUUAUUCGUCUUCAACGAGGAAUUCCUAGUAAAUGCAAGUCAUCAGCUUGCGUUGAUUACGUCCCUGCCCUUUGUACACACCGCCCGUCGCUCCUACCGAUUGAGUGAUCCGGUGAGCUGUCCGGACUGCGAUUAGUUCAGUUUCUGUUCUCUUCGCGGGAAGUUCUGCAAACCUUAUCACUUAGAGGAAGGAGAAGUCGUAACAAGGUUUCCGUAGGUGAACCUGCGGAAGGAUCAUUC